GCAGGCAUGUGGUCUGGCUUUACCGUGGAGUCCACAGUCUAUCGGAUUUACGCACGAGGAAGACUGGGACAAAAAGCCCCGGUUGCUAGCAGCAGUGCAGGGGACUCAGGGCGACGGCAUGUGAUUGCUACAGACAGCUUUAACGAGAGGAACUGAGGCUGCCAGAGCCACUAGAAGCAGAUGGCCAGGAACCACUUUAAGAUGGAAGACAAUCGCUGCUUUGUCCGAAGCAACUCUGCUUUUCCUGACUGCCUGAGCCUUAGAGGACAAUUAGAAAGAUCUCCUGAAAUAUCCAACUUUGAGGAUGGAAAUGAAUACUUCCAAGACAUACAUAUGCAAUACACACUAUUUCUCAAGGCAUCCAGCAGCUCUCAAAGACCCAUUGCCCCGUCCCGUGUCCAGGCAAAGGAAGUGACUAACACUUGUCAUCCAAUGACAAAUUAAUUCUUGUAACAUCGGGAGUGCGCUGAAUCACGCCCAGCUUGUGGAGCCACCGUGGUGUUCGCUAACAGAUUGACGCACACUGUGAGAUCACUGGGCUCUCAGAGCUGCCCGGCGUGCGCGGGCCGGGCCUGGGAAG